rnacentral:rRNA from 1 species
UACGUAGGUGGCAAGCGUUGUCCGGAUUUAUUGGGUUUAAAGGGUGCGUAGGCGGUUCCAUAAGUCAGUGGUGAAAUACAAUAGCUUAACUAUUGAGGUGCCAUUGAUACUGCGGAACUUGAGUACAGACGAGGUAGGCGGAAUUGACGGUGUAGCGGUGAAAUGCAUAGAUAUCUACCAGAACGCCGAUAGCGAAGGCAGCUCGCUGGGGACGUACCGACGCUGAGGCACGAUAGCGUGGGGAUCGAACAGG